GGGCCCGUAGCUUAGCCAGGUUAGAGCGCUCGGCUGAUAACCGGGAGGUCGAGGGUUCAAAUCCCUCCGGGCCCA
rnacentral:tRNA from 1 species